rnacentral:rRNA from 1 species
GACGAACGCUGGCGGCGUGCUUAACACAUGCAAGUCGAACGGAAAGGCCCUGCUUUUGUGGGGUGCUCGAGUGGCGAACGGGUGAGUAACACGUGAGUAACCUGCCCUUGACUUUGGGAUAACUUCAGGAAACUGGGGCUAAUACCGGAUAGGAGCUCCUGCUGCAUGGUGGGGGUUGGAAAGUUUCGGCGGUUGGGGAUGGACUCGCGGCUUAUCAGCUUGUUGGUGGGGUAGUGGCUUACCAAGGCAUUGACGGGUAGCCGGCCUGAGAGGGUGACCGGCCACAAUGGGACUGAGAUACGGCCCAGACUCCUACGGGAGGCAGCAGGGGGGAAUAUUGCACAAUGGGCGGAAGCCUGAUGCAGCAACGCCGCGUGCGGGAUGACGGCCUUCGGGUUGUAAACCGCUUUCGCCUGUGACGAAGCGGGAGUGACGGUAAUGGGUAAAGAAGCACCGGCUAACUACGUG